rnacentral:rRNA from 1 species
UACAGAGGGGGCAAGCGUUGUUCGGAAUUACUGGGCGUAAAGGGCGCGUAGGCGGCCUUCUAAGUCGAACGUGAAAUCCCCGGGCUCAACCCGGGAACUGCGUCCGAUACUGGAAGGCUUGAAUCCGGGAGAGGGAUGUGGAAUUCCAGGUGUAGCGGUGAAAUGCGUAGAUAUCUGGAGGAACACCGGUGGCGAAGGCGACAUCCUGGACCGGUAUGACGCUGAGGCGCGAAAGCCAGGGGAGCAAAGCGGG